rnacentral:tRNA from 1 species
UUAAAAGAAGCUAAAGUUGGAAGCAUCUCACUGUUAAUGGGAUUUAGAGGUUUACCUCCUUUUAAG